AGACAGACAGAGAGAGACAGACAGAGAGACAGACAGAGAGAGACAGACAGACAGACAGACAGACAGACAGACAGACAGACAGACAGACAGAGAGGCGGUAAGAUUCGCCACCUGGAGGUCAGAGGAGGAGGAAACUGAACCUGCAAAAUGUCUACCAGAAACCAGUGAGGGACUUCGCCUCAUCAGAAGCUUUGAUGGAGAAGUGUUGCUGGUUUUGUGAAUGAGGACUUCACUUUGUUGUGAGGAGCGGCACAUCAGAUGCAUGUGAGGGAGUAUUUUCAGAGGAGCUUCACAUAAUCAAAGACUUCAGAAAUUCUCAGUGGUCUUCCAAAAAUAUCGUCCUCAUAUUCCCCAAAUUUAAAACGUCUUACUCAUUGCAAUCCGGGAUUUUACUUAAUGGUGACGGUAAUAUACAUUUUCAUUCAAAUUAAAAUAAGAAACUAAAAAGUUUGCAUUGUCUCAAUUCUGCAGAAUUCAUUAGAUUCAUUUAAUUUUCUCUGCUUUUUGUUGUUUUCAUCAAAGAAUAAAAGUGGAAGAGAAGGUGUUGCUAUGAUAGAAUCAGGACGUUAAUGAUUGAAUGAUUAUGUGAUCUGCUGGGAAUGCUCUGUAAACACAUGAUUGUGCCUGUAAGACAAUGAAACUUGUAAGAAAAUGAUACAUUUCUAGUUUGCGUGUUGACUAUAUGUGAACACUCUCGUGUGAUUUCCCUCUUUCUCAGCAAAGAUGUUUCUGAACAGCAUUUCUCGCUCAAAUUUCAGUUAAGUGCGUUUAUGGAGAGGUGUUGCAUCCUAGUAGAUAUAGUGUAUCUCUUAAAGGUCGUUCUGCACUGAAACGUGGCUUUAUUGAAUGUCCAAGAACCACACAUUGUAAAUACUGUACAUACAAGAUUAAAUUUUCUUCUUUAUCACAACAAA